rnacentral:tRNA from 1 species
AGCCAGUUAGCUCUAUCGGUUAGAGCGUGGUGCUGAUAACACCAAGGUCGCGGGUUCAAACCCCUUUUGGUCC